CUUGUUAGUAUUUAGCUUUCAAAAUGGUCUGGAAAGCUGCCUGGUGACAUGGAUUUCUUCUAGGUUUAAUACAGGUUUGAUUAGCCAGGAAAUCAUUGUCUUUUUCUAGGGAGCCGGAUCACAGACCUACAAAAUUCACAGUAAACAAAAGCAGGCAAAGAAAAAAAUCUUAUCCGUGUUUUUCUGGUUGGAAGCACUGCAGUAGGCUCUAAGACUCCUAGCUUCAGCAGCCAGUACCCCGAGCAAGGCUGUACAUGCAAGGCAGGUAAAUCCUCACAAGGACUAGAUAGGCAAAGACCUUCAGGUUCCUAACUUAGCUUUCUACGUACCUGAAUCUGGUCUUGGAUCAUGGUAUGCUUCAAUUCCUCAUCUGACUUAUCUGGACUCCUGCCCAGCAAGGUGAACUGGUUACACCGUGAGAGCUGGAGACAAUACAGCCACAGAAAAAGGCAUGUUCUUUCCGUACAGCUGAAGUUGGGUAAUGCAGAGAGGUCUGGUAAUUAUUUCCAUGUUGCUGUGCAGAAGAGGGAUGCCGAGAGACCAUCACUCCAAGUGCUGCUGCCCUCCAUCAAGAGCUAGCCAUGAAACAGCGCUCGCCAAGCAGCCACACAACGAACAUUCAGGGCCACACGCUCAGGGCUAGAGUCUCAAUGAAUUCAGGGAAGAAGCUCCCAAGGAAAGGAAGAAAAUUGUACCACAAUCUGUAAUAUUUGGGGUAUUAAGAUGUUAAGACAUAUUCACAGCACAAGAAAUACUCAUUUGCAGACCAAGAAGUAAACUGUGAGCAGUGUGUCUCUGACAUCGCUGGAGUAACACUGUAACUUGUAGGAAUAAAUGCAAAAUCAAAUAAAAUUUAAAACUUUUCCAUUUUCUUGU